UGUGUAGGCGGCUUUUUAAGUUUGGUGUGAAAUCUCCCGGCUCAACCGGGAGGGUGCGCCGAAUACUGAGAGGCUAGAGUACGGGAGAGGAAAGUGGAAUUCCUGGUGUAGCGGUGAAAUGCGUAGAUAUCAGGAGGAACACCGGUGGUGUAGACGGCUUUCUGGACCGUAACUGACGCUGAGACACGAAAGCGUGGGUAGCAAACA
rnacentral:rRNA from 1 species